AAGAUGUUAGCUUAAGUAAUUCUGUAGGAUAGCCUGAAUGAGGUCUUUCUGUCCCUGCAGUGGGAAAAAAAUAGGAACCAGCACAACAACGAUGGCAAAAAUGUUGGAAGAGCAGGAGGACCCAGAAUUAUUUUCCUGUUGCUGAAAUAACCAAGGAAGGAUAUCCUACAAGAAAUAAACGAGGAGAAGAAAAGCAGUGAUUGGAACAACAAAAAAAAAAGAGCACGAAGGAAGAAAACAGUUUUUGAUGCUUACUACAAUUUGAUGUCAUUCUCUCCUGGGACAGACUUCCUAAAGUAGCAAAGAACCAGAUGGAAGAAAACUGAGGAACAACUUAAGGAAGGUGCAAAUCCUAUCUGAAUAUAAGUCCUACCUGUAUUGCACAAAAAUGCAAGAUCACUUGGUACAAGUAAGAGAUAGGGGACAGGAAAGGCCAGCUUGAUGAACUUAGUAUGUAAGCAGUAAUUGAAACAAAUCUCUGAUAUAACUGGAGCAGAACCUGACAAGAACUGUGUGAAUUUUGGAGGACUAAGAUUGAGCAUGGACAACAGGUCAUGAAUUGCAUCUGGUUCAAGAGACAUUACAGAGCAAGGUUAUGCCAGAGCCUACAUAUACUGUCUCCUGGCUGGUGAGGCAGCAGGGAAACCACGAGCUUGUUCCUUGCUGAGUGGCCCUACUUAGCCUUUUGACUGGAGAACACCACUUCAUGAGUACAGACCAGAAGGCAAGCCUAGUGGACGUGUCCAUCAGCGUGCUCAAACUACUGCUAAAUAAGAACUAUAUACCAUCUAUUCCUGUGCCAGGUUAGGCCUGGAGGUUCUUACCUUUAGAACCAUGAGUCUCUACAAGAGCCCUCUCCACCCUACCACAUGGUAGCCAUUGGGGGUACUUGAGAUCACCGAGUGAGUUUCACUCAGGUGAAAGCUAAAUGGUGCCUUCCCGGUACCAGAAUGCAAUCACUUCACUUACUGACAAGGGUGGCAUGACUCAGGCUUCUUAAACUGGACUACUUAAUCUUAAGGGUAGCGUUGGACAUCCCAGUGCCCCAAGCGCUCGUAGGUAAGAUGCUGCUGUACAAACCAGCAGGGCAGAGCAGUCCGACGGGCAGCACCUCAAACGCUGCUCACGGGAGCCACAGAAGCACGAUCCAGAGCCCGACCCCCCUCCAAGCCCCCCGGGAGGCGGCCCUGCACUCGCGGAGCUGGGGCUCCGUGGCGCCCACCGCUCUCGCCGCCCUCCCUCCCUCUUCCUCUCCUCCCUGCACUGACCGGCCCGGGGCUCCGGACAACGCGUACAAGGAAUGCGCCUCGCCG